UGAGAGUUCAUUCAUGAUCUGGCUCUCUGCUUGUCUAUUGUUGGUGUAAAGGAAUGCUUGUGAUUUUUCCACAUUUAUUUUGUAUCCUGAGACUUGGCUGAAGUUGCUUAUCAGCUUAAGGAGUUUUUGCACUGAGAUGAUGGGGUUUUCUAAAUUUAGAAUCAUGUUAUCUGCAAACAGAGACAAUUAGACUUUCUCUCUUCCUAUCUGAAUACCCUUUAUUUCUUUCUCUUGCCUGAUUGCCCUGGCCAGAACUUCUGAUACUAUGUUGAAUGGGAGUGUUGAGAGAGGGUAUCCUUGCCUUGGUACUGGUUUUCAAAGGGAAUGCUUCCAGCUUUUUCCCAUUCAAUAUGAUAUUGGCUGUGAGUUUGUCAUAAAUAGCUGUUCUUAUUUUGAGAUAUGUUCCAUCAAUACCUAGUUUAUUGACAGUUUUUAACAUAAAGGGAUGUUGAAUUUUAUCAAAGUCCUUUUCUGCAUCUAUUAUCAUGUGGUUUUUGUCUUUGGUUCUGUUUAUGUGAUGGAUUAUGUUUAUUGAUUUGCAUAGGUUGAACCAGCCUCGCAUCCCAGGGAUGAAGCCAACUUGAUCGUGGUGGAUGAAUUUUUUGAUGUGCUGCUGGAUUCGGUUUGCCAGUAUUUUAUUGAGGAUUUUCAUGUUGAUGUUCAUCAGGGAUAUUGGCCUGAAAUUUUCUUUUUUUGUUAUGUCUUUUCCCAGUUUUUGGUAUCAGGGUGAUGUGUCGUACAGUGAGUUAGGGAGGAGUCUCUCCUUUUCAGUUGUUUGGAAUAGUUUCAGAAGGAAUGAUACCAGCUCUUCUUUAUACCUGUGGUAGAAUUUGGCUGUGAAUCCAUCUUGUCCUGGGCUUUUUUUGUUGGUAGGCUAUUAAUUACUGCCUCAAUUUCAGAACUUGUUAUUGGUCUAUUCAGGGAUUCGACUUCCUCCUAGUUUAGUCUUGGGAGGGUAUAUGUGUCCAGAAAUUUAUCCAUUUCUGCUAGAUUUUCCAGUUUAUGUGCAAAUAAAUGUUUAUAGUAUUCUGUGAUGGUAGUUUGUAUUUCUGCGGGGUCAGUGGUGAUACCCCUUUAUCAUUUUUUAUUGUGUCUAUUUGAUUCUUCCCUCUUUUCUUCUUUAUUAGUCUGGCUAGUAGUCUAUCCAUUUUGUUAAUUUUUUCAAAAAACGAGCUCCUCAAUUCAUUGAUUUUUUUGUAGGGCUUUUCGUAUCUCUAUCUCCUUCAAUUCUUCUCUGAUGUUAUUUCUUGUCUUCUGCUAGUUUUUGGAUUAGUUUGUUCUUGCUUCUCUAGCUCUUUUAAUUGUGAUGUUAAAGUGUCAAUUUGAGAUCUUUCUCACUUUCUGAUGUGGGCAUUUAGUGGUAUAAAUUUCCCUCUUAACACUGCUUUAGCUGUGUCCCUGAGAUUCUGGUAUGUUCUCUUUGUUCUCAUUGGUUUCAAAGAACUUCUUGAUUUCUGCCUUAAUUACAUUAUUUACCUAGGAGUCAUUCAGGAGCAGGUUGUUCAAUUUCCGUGUAACUGUGUGGUUUUGAGUGAGUUUCAUAAUCCUGAGUUCUAAUUUGAUUGCACUGUUGUCUGAGAGACUAUGAUUUCAGUUCUUUGGCAUUUGCUGAGGAGCAGUGACACCUUUUCAUGUAUUAAGUCUGUAAUUUCUCUCAGCAGUUUCUGUAGUUUUCAGCAUACAGAUCUUGAAGAUGUUUUUUAUUAAAUGUAUCCUUAAAUAGUUUGUUUUUGAUGCUAUUGUAAAUAGUGUUUAUUAUUUGUUACUCAUACAUAGAAAUACAGUUGGUUUUUGUAUAUUGACCUGCAGUCCUGCUGCCUUGCGAAAUUCACUUUUUAGUUUAGCUUUUUUUGGAUAAAUUCUUUAGAAUUUUCUACAUAUAUAAUUAUGUCAUCUGUGAAUACAGACAAUUCUGUUUCUUCCUUUUCAGUAUUUCUGCUGUGUUUCUGAUGCUUUUGUUGCCUUAUUGCACUGACCAGGACUUCAAGUACAAUGUUGAGAAGUGGUAAGAGCAGAUGUAUCAGCCUUGUUCCUCAUCUUAGGAAGAGUUUCUUUCGCCAUUAAGUGUGAAGUUAGUUCUAGAGUUUUCUUUUUUUUUAAUUUUUUAGAUUCCCUUUAGGGAUUUUUUUUUCUACUUCCUGCUUGCUUAUGAAUGAGUACUGAAUUUGUUAAAUGCUUUUUUUCUACAUCUAAUGAGAUAGUUAUACUAUCUUCUUUAUUCUGUUAAUGUGAUAUAUCACAUGGUUUGAUUUUCAAAUAUUAAAGCAACUUUGCAUUUGUGAGAUAUGUCAUGACCAAGUGGGGUUUAUUACCCUAUUUAUGUACUGGUGAAUUCAGUCUGCCUAUAUUUGGCUAAAAGUGUUUGUGUCUGUGUUCCUGUGGAAUAUUGAUCUAGUUUUAUUUUCUCCUAUUGUCUUUAUCUGGUCUGGUGGCAGAGUGAUACCUCAUAAAUUCAGUUUGGAAAUGCUGCCUCCUUCUUUAUUCUCUGAAAGUUUGUGAGGUUCUUAAAUCUUAGAAUUCAUCAGUUAUAUCAGUCAGGGUCCAGUCAGGAGACAGAAACCAUGCCAGGACCAAUCUAAUGUUAAGAAUUAUUAACUAGUAAUGAGAUUAGCAACUCAGGGGUAGAGAGAACUCCAAAGAAUACAGGAAGAGCAGAUGUAGAGACCAGCCACUUCCUAGGCUAGGGCAGAGUACUCACAGCGGGAACAAACUUGGAAGAGAUCCUCCUUACGUGGCUGAGGCUCAGAUCUCACUGCAGAUGAUACAGUGUUGCUAUAGCCUGACCCUGGAAUGGCCUAGAGUUUGCUGAGAUGCUGUGUGCUGGGGCUGGCAAGUGGGAAACUGUCUUCUGGGGUAUGUGUCAGACUCAUUGGGAAGCUCCUCCUAAGGUGCUGCUGAAACUCACUAGGAAGCCACCCUUUGUGGUGCUGGUGAAACUCUCUGGGAAACCACCUGCAGGAUUGUUGGUGAAAAUCCCGGCAGAGUAAGUGCCACUGGUUGUUCCAACUCCUACUGGAACAGGUGCUUCACGGGGUGUCCCAAAUGCUGCUUGCUAGUAGCCACAUGCCACAGAAGCAGGAAGGAAAAAGCAUACUGGGACAGAGAAGAGAAGCUGCUUCCUCCUGCAGUGUCUUUAUAACCUCCACUGAUAAAGCUUAAGUAUGCCAUGUGACACAGCAGAAAUGUUGGCAGGACCCAGCUCCAGUAUCAUAAAGCAGAUCAAACGAGUGGGUUUGAGGCUGAGAAGCUUUAACAGAUACAGGGGUAUUCCAAUUUUUCUUUUUCUUUUUUUUUUUUUUGAGUUAAGAGUCUCGCUCUGUCGCCAGGCUGGAGUGCAGUGGCACAAUCUCAGCUCACUGCAACCUCUGCCUCCCGGGUUCAAGUGAUUCUCCUGCCUCAGCCUCCCGAGUAGCUGGGAUUACAGGCACGUGCCACCAUGCCCAGCUAAUUUUUGUAUUUUUAGUAGAGACGGAGUUUCACCAUGUUGGCCAGGAUGGUCUCGAUCUCCUGACCUCUUGAUCCACCCACCUCGGCCUCCCAAAGUGCUGGGAUUACAGGCGUGAGCCACUGCGCCUGGCCAAUUUUUCUGUUUCUUAUGUCAGUUUUGACAAUUUGUCUUUUAAGGAAUUUGUCAACUUCAUCUAGAUUGUCUAAUUUAUUAGCAUAACAUUGUUUAAAAUAUUCCCUUAUUUUAAUAUCAAUAAGACAUUCCUGUUAUGGCCAAUUUGUGCUUUCUUUUUAUCUUUAUUGGUCUAAUUAAUAUUUUGUCAAUUUUAUUUAUCUUUCAAAGAACCAGUUCUAAAUUUCUUAGAUUUUUUUCUGUUUCACUAAUUGCUGCUUGUACCUUUAUUAUUUAGUCUACUUUCGGAUUAAAUUUACUCUUAUUCUAGCUUCUUAAGAUGCAAGCUUAGAUCUUUGAUUUUAGGUAAUCUUUUUUUAAAUACAUAAGCAUUUAACACUAAAAUUUAAACAUUUAUUUAGUUGCAUCUCACAUAUUUUAAUAUCCAUGUUUUAAUUUUCAUUCAGUUCAGAAUGUUUUCUAAGUUAUCUUGUACUUUUUUGACCUUUGUGCUAAUUAUUAUAAAAGUUCAAUGUUUAAUUUUUAAGUAUGUGAAGAUUUUCCAGAUAACUUUUUGUCAUUGAUAUUUAAACUUAAUUCUGUUGUGAUUAGAAAAUAUGUUGUGUUUCAUUUCAACUAUCUUAAAUGUAUUUAGACUUGUUUUAUGACCCAAUUUAUCUUAGUGUACCCAUAAAAAUAAUUUGCCUUCUGCAGUGACUGGCUGUAAUGUAUUACAAAUAUUAAUUAGGUCAUGUUAGUUGAUCAUGCUGAUGUCUAUGACUUACUGAUUUUCUCUCUACGUUUACUGUUAAUUACUGAGUAAGAAGAGUUAAGCUCUCCAAAUACAGAAAAUGCGUGUUUUCUAUUUCCCUGUUCAGGUUCAGUCUGAGAGGUUGAUUCUCCUGGGGCAUUCUAGCUCUAGUCUAGCCCUAUUCUUAAGGCAUGGAAUUCCCUGGGAGCUGAAUGAGUUCUCUCCACUAUAUUUGUUCACAUCUUAAAUAUCUUCUAGCCCUGUGAUAAUUUGGUAGUUGUUCAGCUGACACUUUCCUGAUUAUUCUUUGUCUGGCCCAAGGGCUUUCACACUGUGAAUGUUUAGCUUAGUUUAGAGCUAAAGACACAAACAGACCCCCUCUGAGAUUUCUGAACCUCUUUUUCUGCAUAGCACCCUUCUCUCAGAUACUCUGCACUGCAAAUUUUGGUGCUGCAGCCUCUUUGAACUCUGAUCUUUGUCUCCACAGCUCCACGAGACCCAUAUGCUCUGUAUUUCCCCUCUCUACUCUGGAAUCUGCUUAUGAUGGAUUUUUCUGAAUAUAGCCCCAUGGUAUGUCGAGGAUCAUCUGUGAUUUGCACCACAUAUUCAUCAUCGUGAUUGAGACCCUGUUUCAGCUAUUAACUUAAUCUCAAGUAGCUUUGAAGUAUUUGGAUAUAAAGAAUGUCUUAUACUUCUACAUUCCCUGUGUUGCUGCACACGUAUUAACAGGUGGUCAUCAAGGACUUGAUUUUUGAUCAGGUUUGAUUAGACAGGCUGUACUGGUAGAUGGCUACCAGUAACCAUGAAUUGUAUUAAUUAAGUAGACUCAUCAGAGCCUCUAAGUGAAACGACUUUGUAAGUGGCCAAAGUUACUUUACACACCAACAGCAACACCUGGAAAAGCACUAUGGUAAAAGUACUGAACUUGAGUCCUAAGAUCUAGGUUGAAUGCCAGACCUGCUGCUUAUUUAUCUGACUUUGGUUGAAUCACUGAAGCUGCUCUUUCUGUAAAACAAAGAAAUUAGGCUGGAUAAUCACUGAGACACCUUACUCUGUAAUGCUGUAAUGCUGUAAUGCUGAUUUAAACAUUUGUAUUUUUGAAAUUUAAUUCAAAUAUUUAAAUAGUCUAGAGUUGCUUACCAGAA